GAUGAACGCUAGCGGCAGGCUUAACACAUGCAAGUCGAGGGGUAUAGUAGCAAUACUAGAGACCGGCGCACGGGUGCGUAACGCGUAUGCAAUCUACCUUAUACAGGGGGAUAGCCCAGAGAAAUUUGGAUUAAUACCCCAUAGUGUUAUUUGAUGGCAUCAUUAUAUAACUAAAGUUCCAACGGUAUAAGAUGAGCAUGCGUCCUAUUAGCUAGAUGGUAAGGUAACGGCUUACCAUGGCUACGAUAGGUAGGGGUCCUGAGAGGGAGAUCCCCCACACUGGUACUGAGACACGGACCAGACUCCUACGGGAGGCAGCAGUGAGGAAUAUUGGACAAUGGGCGCAAGCCUGAUCCAGCCAUGCCGCGUGCAGGAAGACGGUCCUAUGGAUUGUAAACUGCUUUUGUACGGGAAGAAACACUCCCUCGUGAGGGAGCUUGACGGUACCGUAAGAAUAAGGAUCGGCUAACUCCGUGCCAGCCGCCGCCGUAAUAC
rnacentral:rRNA from 1 species